GGACACAUGUAGCCAUUUAUUUCUGUUUCUUUUAACACAGCUGCAUGUUAUCAACUGAACUUAAAAUCCAAUUAUUAUGGGUUUCACAGCAUUAUUUUUUCAACAUCCUCCAUUUGAUUUGGGCAGUUUAACUACUGCACUACAUGGGCAGACACUGGGGUAACACCACCUGGACUUGGGGGAUCAGAAAAAUGAUGCUGUCACCAGCCAUGGGGACGAGUGGUCAGGGAAUGACUGCAAACUUGUGGCCCACAUAGGGUGCCGGAAUAGAUCACGCAGUAGGUCCUGAAACAGGGCCCAGCCAAGCUUUCAUGUUUGCUGCGUUCCUUUUUUCUCUUUGCUUUUAGAGAAGGAUCCAAAACAUGGAGCACCUGAAGCUCUUGCUAAUUAGACAAGGCCUCACACAUCAUCUAGACUUACUAAUUCCACAUCUAACCCCAUAACAUAACAGCAGGAGAACCGCUAGGUGAUUAUAUUUAAUUUUAUGCGGAGGUCAAAUGAACGGAAUAGUUUAUUUGUGAGCCAAUGCCCUUUAAUGAAUAAAUCAAAACCACCGACCCGACGUUAGCCCUGCACUGCCAACAGGUGAGCUUUGUUUGGCUCAUUAAGGUGCUCACCGACCAAGGCUGGGGGCUGCACCCUGGAGGAAUAGCUGAUGUUGUCAUAUGCCUCCAUCUUCCAAAUGGGGGUGCAAUGACACAGACAACACCUUGCCACCAAGUUCUGCAGUGCUGAGCACGGAAUGGAGCAGGAGCUUGGGUUAGUAGGACAGGUGCCCCAGCUCCUGCUGUGUGUGGCAAUGGGACCAUGCGUGAGACACGGCGGGGCCCUGCCGCCAUCACUGAGGGCAUGGCAGGUGGAAGUGCAAUUUUGCCUUCAGCUGACUCACAGCAAAACAUUCGGGGCUGAUUCAACAGAGUGCUCUGCUUCCCGUCGCAAUGACUCCCAUCGCAAGGUUUUGUUUGGAUGCUCCUGGCAGAAAGAGAGUAUACAGAGAGGCAUUAAAAAAAAAAAAAGGUAACAUUUGGAAACUCAAUUUUCUAUAUAAAAAGCUUCCUGCAGCCUGGGCUCUCGCCAGGCCUCUCUAUUCACUACCACUCACUGGUGGUGAGUUAUUGGUAUGGAAGGGUUCUCUGUGUUUUUGCCAUCUUGACAGACAGAGGAUUGCCUGUAAUUACAUCACAGCUUAGCUCGGGGCCUUGCAUGCAUGCAGAGGGUCGAGGCAAUGUGUCUGUUUGCAGGACUGGAGCAUACAUUCAUUUGUUAUUCAUUUUCUAAAAAUCUUCACGUGUUGCAAAAAUUAUACCUUACGUUCCCGGCCAGGAAGCACGUCAGAGAACAGCAGAGUUUAUCUUAUUCACUUGACCAUCCUGACUUUUGAAAUGCAAUCGAAAAUGCAACUGCAUUGCAAUUGAUCACUGCACAAGACAUCGAGGAUCCGUGGGUUGGGUGAAGGGAAUGAAGCCAUCCACGCUGUGACCCCAUCCAUGCACUUCACAUGCACCAGGCUUUGCUUCCCGACCCGAAUCCCUCACCAUUGCUCUCUCUGCAAUGAACUGCGAUUGUUUUCAGCGCACAAAGCGCAUCUCCAGCCCCAAAGUGUAAGAAAACCCCAUCCGCCUGCCAGUUGACUCAUGUGUAGGGUUUCCGCUUCCCAGCUCUGCAUAUUGCGAGAUCCUGACAUGAGCCGGGGAGAGCUGAUGUUGUCAGCGCAGCUCCCAUACGGUUUGCUCAAAGGCAACAGAUUUUUUAUACGUAUAUAUUUAUACAUGGCACCUGGGUUGGCAGAAACUACAUCCGAAAAAGGGAAACGGGGAAAACACUCAGCGCUGAGUCUCCUUAGCGGGGUGUGGAGGGGUUUGGGCCAUUCUGGGAUUGUGUAGUCUGGAGGAGGCUCAGGGGAGAACUUAUCGCUCUCUACAGCACCCUGAGAGAAGGAUGUGGUGAGGUGGGGGUCGGCCUCUGCUCCCAGGUAACGGUGAUAGGCCGAGGGGUGACGGCCUCAAGUUGCACCAGAGGAGGUUGGCUCUGGGUGUUGGGAAACAUUUCUUCUCAGAAGGAGCGGUCAGGCAUGGGCACGGGCUGCCCAGGGAGCGGUGGAGUCACCGGCCCUGGAGGUUCUCAAGGCGAGGACAGAUGUAGUACUUAAGGGCACAGCUUAGUGGGCAGCACUGGUGGAUGACCGGACUAGAUGAUCUUAGAGGUCUUUUCCGACCGUAAUGAUUCCAUGACUUCUAAACGGGGGGUCUUGGCCAAAUGCGACGUACUGACGCAGCUGGUGGUCGGGGUCAGUUUGGGGUGCGGAUGCGACGCCUGACUCAGCCCCGGGGUGCGGCUGCCCACGGAGCCCUACGAGGCCGAGCGGCGGCACCGCAUACCCAGCGCCCGGCACCGCGCGCGGGCCCACGCAGACAAAGGGCCGCGCGAGCCCCACGCGUGGCGCCGCCGCCCGCCCCCUGCCCGCCCC
ensembl:lncRNA